AUACGUAGGGAGCGAGCGUUGUCCGGAAUUACUGGGCGUAAAGGGCGCGUAGGCGGCGCUUCAAGUCGUCUGUCAAAUGGGAGGGCUUAACCCUUUUUCGCAGACGAAACUGGAGAGCUUGAGAAGCAGAGAGGCAAACAGAAUUCCUGGUGUAGCGGUGAAAUGCGUAGAUAUCAGGAAGAAUACCAGUGGCGAAGGCGGUUUGCUGGCUGCAUACUGACACUGAAGCGCGAAAGCCAGGGGAGCAAACGGGAUUAGAUACCCCGGUAGUCCUGGCAGUAAACGAUGUAUGCUGGGUGUGAGACUAGCGAUAGUUUCGUGCCGAAGUUAACGCGAUAAGCAUACCGCCUGGGGAGUACGGUCGCAAGAUUGAAACUCAAAGGAAUUGACGGGG
rnacentral:rRNA from 1 species